rnacentral:rRNA from 2 species
AUUGAACGCUGGCGGCAGGCCUAACACAUGCAAGUCGAACGGUAACAGGAAGCAGCUUGCUGCUUCGCUGACGAGUGGCGGACGGGUGAGUAAUGUCUGGGAAACUGCCUGAUGGAGGGGGAUAACUACUGGAAACGGUAGCUAAUACCGCAUAACGUCGCAAGACCAAAGAGGGGGACCUUCGGGCCUCUUGCCAUCGGAUGUGCCCAGAUGGGAUUAGCUAGUAGGUGGGGUAACGGCUCACCUAGGCGACGAUCCCUAGCUGGUCUGAGAGGAUGACCAGCCACACUGGAACUGAGACACGGUCCAGACUCCUACGGGAGGCAGCAGUGGGGAAUAUUGCACAAUGGGCGCAAGCCUGAUGCAGCCAUGCCGCGUGUAUGAAGAAGGCCUUCGGGUUGUAAAGUACUUUCAGCGGGGAGGAAGGCGAUAAGGUUAAUAACCU